UCAUGGUAUACACGAGUAUCUGGAUGGAAACGAAGAAUAUAGAAUAAUAUAUAAGGACAGUAGAGAGUGAUACAUUGCUAAAAACGAGAGAAAAAUAAUACUUGUUUAAGAAUACACACAUGAAACACCGAUGGCUGUUGAAACAGUAACGGAUUGCGAUGUACUUAUAUUGGUGACAAAUUCUAGAAGUUUACAUGCGGACAACUAUGGUGGC
rnacentral:lncRNA from 1 species